CCUACGGGGGGCAGCAGUGGGGGAUAUUGGACAAUGGGGGAAACCCUGAUCCAGCGACGCCGCGUGAGUGAAGAAGUAUUUCGGUAUGUAAAGCUCUAUCAGCAGGGAAGAAAGAAAUGACGGUACCUGAGUAAGAAGCCUCGGCUAACUACGGGCCAGCAGCAGCGGCAAUACGUAGGGGGCAAGCGUUAUCCGGAAUUACUGGGUGUAAAGGGAGCGUAGACGGUAAGGCAAGUCUGGAGUGAAAGGCGGCGGCCCAACCCCCGGACUGCUCUGGAAACUGUGUAACUGGAGUGCAGGGGAGGCAGGCGGAAUUCCUAGUGUAGCGGUGAAAUGCGUAGAUAUUAGGAAGAACACCGAUUGCGAAGGCAGCCUGCCGCAGCGUUACUGACGCUGAAGCUCGAAAGCGCGGGUAUCGAACAGGAUUAGAUACCCGUGUAGUC
rnacentral:rRNA from 1 species